rnacentral:ribozyme from 1 species
AACCUUCCGCCAUCAAGAAACGCAAAGAAAUAAACAAACAAACAAACAAACAAAAAACAAAAGUCAAAUCAAUCAACCAGAUGUUCAUAAGAGCGACGCCAUUUUUUCUUCUUCUUUUUGC